ensembl:lncRNA
CUACCAAUGACUGUAGAAAACAGUCAUUGGUUUCUACUUUUAGUAAAAUAUAAUAAAAACUGAAUUAGAAUAAGAUUGUUUGACAACAACAACAACAACAACAAAAAAAAGACUGGAAAAGAGUAGACUAUGGCAAACAGAAAAGAACAUCAAGGAGAGAAGAGGGACAGGAAGAAGCUUACAGGAGAAGACAGGAGGAGGAAGGGAGGGAAAUAAAAGGAGAGGAGGCAACAAGAAGAGAGACAGAAGAAAAGGAUGGGAAACCUGCUCUGCACUCUCGGCCUUGAGGGCCUACCUUCCCAUGUAUGGCACUGUGAUGAGUCAGGUCUCCAAGACCAGUUCUCCUCAACCAAGGUGCUUGGAGUGGUUGGGCAACCAUGUGUGGAGGUCUGUGCAGGGAAACGACUACGAUGUGAGUGGCUCCAACAUUGCCCUGAGAAUGUUACUCUUCGGGUCUUAGAUAAUAGCUGGAUAAAUGGUGAUCUCUUCUUGGAAUGGGGUCAGUUGUUUGUUCAGUCAUUACCUCAGGAUGACGCCAGACCCAUCUUGCUACUAAUGGACUUUAUCAAUUUAAUGAGGAAAAAAAAUGUCCACAUUCUGUGUUACCCUCCACACGCCAUUCGUGCUCUUCAGCCUGUAGACAAGGCCCUGUUCCGACGCCUGAAGCACCACUGGUACAAAGAGGGAAGAAAGUGGACCAGACUAAUGGCAGGACAAAAGCUACCAACGUCUGAGUUUUUCUCAGUUUUCUGCCCAGCAUACAGAAAGGCUGCCACUGUUAAAAAUGCAUAGGCAGGGUUCAGAGGGACAGGAAUGUUCCCUUUAAACAAAUACAUCCUCCAAAAAGUGCUUUCCUCCCAGUAAAACAACUGAGAGACCCCUUCCACUUACUUCCCCUUCCCUUUUCAGCAAACCCCAGAAACCACAAGCACCACCAGGCAAAACUCAGACACCACUAGCCACUGCCCAGCUGACCUUAGAAUCCCUCAGCCCCAUUCAUCACCCUGCAGUGGUAUCCGAGGUGCCCCU